rnacentral:rRNA from 1 species
UGGGGAAUUUUGGACAAUGGGCGAAAGCCUGAUCCAGCAAUGCCGCGUGUGUGAAGAAGGCCUUCGGGUUGUAGAGCACUUUUGUCCGGAAAGAAAUCCUUGGCUCUAAUACAGUCGGGGGAUGACGGUACCGGAAGAAUAAGCACCGGCUAACUACGUGCCAGCAGCCGCGGUAAUACGUAGGGUGCAAGCGUUAAUCGGAAUUACUGGGCGUAAAGCGUGCGCAGGCGGUUUGCUAAGACCGAUGUGAAAUCCCCGGGCUCAACCUGGGAACUGCAUUGGUGACUGGCAGGCUAGAGUAUGGCAGAGGGGGGUAGAAUUCCACGUGUAGCAGUGAAAUGCGUAGAGAUGUGGAGGAAUACCGAUGGCGAAGGCAGCCCCCUGGGCCAAUACUGACGCUCAUGCACGAAAGCGUGGGGAGCAAACAGGAUUAGAUACCCUGGUAGUCCACGCCCUAAACGAUGUCAACUAGUUGUUGGGGAUUCAUUUCCUUAGUAACGUAGCUAACGCGUGAAGUUGACCGCCUGGGGAGUACGGUCGCAAGAUUAAAACUUAAAGGAAUUGACGGGGUCAUAGCUGUUUCUU